UACACAUGCAAGUCGAGCGGUUGAAGGAAGCUUGCUUCCUGAUUCAGCGGCGGACGGGUGAGUAAUGCCUAGGAAUCUGCCUGGUAGUGGGGGACAACGUUUCGAAAGGAACGCUAAUACCGCAUACGUCCUACGGGAGAAAGCAGGGGACCUUCGGGCCUUGCGCUAUCAGAUGAGCCUAGGUCGGAUUAGCUAGUUGGUGAGGUAAUGGCUCACCAAGGCGACGAUCCGUAACUGGUCUGAGAGGAUGAUCAGUCACACUGGAACUGAGACACGGUCCAGACUCCUACGGGAGGCAGCAGUGGGGAAUAUUGGACAAUGGGCGAAAGCCUGAUCCAGCCAUGCCGCGUGUGUGAAGAAGGUCUUCGGAUUGUAAAGCACUUUAAGUUGGGAGGAAGGGCAGUCAGCGAAUACCUUGCUGUCUUGACGUUACCGACAGAAUAAGCACCGGCUAACUCUGUGCCAGCAGCCGCGGUAAU
rnacentral:rRNA from 1 species